GAAAAGGGGCUGUGGUCACACCUGUCCACAAGGGAUGCUGGGAAAUGAAUCGUGUUCCAGUUCUUUCAAAAGCAGACCCUGAAGUGGGGACUUGGGCACAGUGCUGAUCCGGGAGAUGACCCAGAAUACAGAAGUGGGGGUCUCUUGGGCCAUCUGUGCUUUCGGUCUCAUAUAAGACAACAGCCAAUGAAGUUCUAAGAGUUUGAGCAGACAUUGGAUGGAGAGAGAAGAGGGACAAUACCACCCGGCAGUCACAGCAAGUGACUAGCUGUGGACACUCCAGGAGCUCACACUCUGCAGGGACACUCCCUCUGUGAGGCUGGUUUCCCCAGGGGUGCUGCUGUUUACCCCUUGCUAGGAUGGACACGCGCACCUGAAACAGUCCCACUUUGCUGAGAAGACUGGGGUUGUUUCACAUGCUCACAGAGAAGUGAAUUCUACACAGCUUCAGUAUGCUGGGCCUUGAAGGUGUGGCCUCACUGACUCUCAGGGGGAGGCAGUACAAGCUGCAUCAUAAAGCUUACACACUUCACAAACGGAAUUAACUAUCUCCUAGAUUAAAGAGGAGUGGCAGCAGCUCCCCUGCUCUGCUUAAUGUUGUCUAAUCAAUCUUUGGUCAUCUGAAGGGCGGCAAGAUCAGAGGCAUAAAACCGGGAAUGAUCAAGCUCCAUGCUCAGAAGCAAUGACAAGCGAGCUGGAUGUGUGUAGGCUGCGCGCUGUGUGAAGCUCAGUAAUUAGCUUCCGGAGAAUCACUUCAAAACAACCACCUUGCAAAGCAGCUCAGAGAAGAUCUUUUAUUUUUGCCAGGAGUUUACAGGACCCCAGGGCAUUAGGGGAGUGCUGCCAGGAUCAAAAGGAAGAGACGAGCUCGUGGCCUCACCGGUCAUCUGUGCCGCAAGAGUAUAAAGCCCUGGCUACACACUAAAGAAACACGCUUGCUCCCAGCCCUUGGAGAUUUAUACCUGCCAUACAAUUCUGUCACUGAUUCAUUAUGGGACACAAGGAAUACUGUUGUUUUUUACCUCUUAAAAUUUAAGAUGUUGUGAAAAGUAAGCUUCUAACAUUAAAGUGGUAUAAAAUUUUACAUAUGAUUUCUUAUAGACGCAACAAUUUUGGUUUAAAAACAUACGAGUUGCUCUGUACUACUGUCAUAAUUCUUGUAAUUUUAUUUUAAAGUAAACACCAC